GGGGAUGUAAUGGUUUCGACAGGAAUAUUUUAGCAUGAAUUGCAGCCGAGUAGUUUACGUUACAGACUAAACAAAAAUAAACGCAAAUAAAAUUAAAAACGCAUUCAACAACAUCUUUGGUGGAAACCAAGCUGUUGCUUUUGCCUAAUCUAAUAUAGGGAAUGCAAUCCUUUAAAUUAUCACUUACGUAAUUUAAUAGGGUUUGAUUUAGUAAGUUAAGCUAUUAGUUUGUCUAGACUGAUAGUCUAAAAUUUUUGACUAGUAUAUUAUUUAUUUCGUUAAUUAAUUGAUAAUAUAUGAAAUUUAUUAGUUAACUAAGCUUGUAGAUAUUUAUGUAGCGAUAUUUUUGGACAGGAGUUCGAUUCUCCUCAUCUCCACCA
rnacentral:tmRNA from 1 species